rnacentral:rRNA from 1 species
GUCCAAGCAGUAAACGUUGAACACUAAAUACAAGAUAAUAUAUUUUGUGUUGUAGAUAACUCAUUAAGUGUUCCGCCUGAGUACUACGAUCGCAAGAUUAAAAUUCAAAAUAUUUGACGGUUCCUAAUUUCCAUCCGGAGGAGCAUGUGGUUUAAUUCGAUAACCCGCGAGAACCUUACCUAAUUUGGUUUAAGUAUAUUUAGUUUAAAUUUACUUAAUCAGAUGCUACAUGACUGCCGU